CAGGAGGUAGGGAAGGGCGGUGGAACAGUAGGAGAAUUACGGAGCGCCAUUAAGGACAAGUUUGGCCACGUGACUCUCAUGGGAGUUUCCUGGAGCGAACGUAAGGAAGAGGUCUAAGAAGGGAAAGUUUGAUUGGGCUAAUUCUAGAGGUGAGGUUGAAGAUUUAGGGAAUUGGAAACUGGAGAGGCUACGAGAAUAUGGCUGGUGAAAAAGGUAGAAGUUGGUUAGGAAUGGGUCUAGAUUUAAGAGUGGCCUAGAAAGACUGGGAAAGUCCCCGUGGGGGAAUUUCCAGAAGCAGUUUUAGAUGUUCGACAUCAGAACAUCCCAGAGUGAAGAAGAAUCAAGGCUUUUCCCAUACGGAUCGUAGAAAGUACCAUGUUCUAGCAAGCAAAUUUUAAAAAGUACAAUGAAAUGAUCUCCCUGGGCUAUUGAAUGAAAUCACCCGUUUGAAAAAUUGGCCAGUCUUGUCCUUUCUUCCGAAUGCGAAACCAAGUCGACUUUUAAAAAUGGGCAUCAGCUUAUCCACGCGACUUAUUCCCUCUUAAAUUGCUGAAUUUGUGCAUCUGGCUUCCGAUUUUUAUCAAACAGUGCUAGGGGCUGCCAACAUGAUCUGACUGGGUGUUCGUACAGGUCGGUCAGCUUUGGCUGGUCAGAAGCCAAAGGAACAAAGGUGCAAAACUGGUCUUGACUCUUGCUUGACAUGCUGCGCCCCAGCCGAUAUCCAAACCCGCAAAAUGAGCUGCUGCCAACCUUGGAUCCUUGAGGCGAGCGUCAGGUUCCCUUUUAUUCAGCUUUUGCGCGUUUGCCUCUGCUGUUUUACUUCCCGUUUAUUCUUAGCAGAUGGUGGAAUUGAAGCUGGGUGUGGAGGGAAGUUAAAGGAAAUGCUGCGUAUGUGUGAGUGUGGAUGGGGUUAACGGAUUGACAACGGUGGAGGCUGCAAAGAAAACAGUGACAAAAGAACCAACACUUCAGUGAAUUAAAGUGGACUGACUAGGACAUCAGAAGGUGGUUUCUGGAGAGCUUCAGGAGCUGGUGGUAUAGACAGAAGAAAUGAGUCCAAAGGAGCCAAGGCUUUUGAAAGAGUGAAUGAUGCUAAAGGGGAUCAGGGUACAUCAAAAUACACCACUUCGUCAUGAGGAUUAUUUUGAGCUGAAGACAAUUGAGAAUCAACAGAUACAGGAAGAGUCCUCUAGAACUUCCCUUAUCUGCCUAAAAGCAGGGCAUGAAUUUCCGUUUGUGAAGCCAUCCACCCCCAUAUCAAGAAGAGGAGACUGAUCCUAUCACCAGAGAUGGAGAGUCAACACCCAGCUGGGUUUGUAUAAACAGACCUUGCUAGAAGAACCCUUAUCUUCCAUCAGUUCCCCCUUAUAUUUCCUAGUCACUUCCCACGAUUUGUCAUUCCUUGAAACCCAAGCUCCCUUUCCUUUGCUAAAAUGGUAUCUAAGCCCCUGAGUUUUAACUGCUUCUUUGUGUUUCUUUUCUGUGAACUCCUAUGCGUGUAAAUAUUAAUAAAGUUUGUAUACCUUUUCUCC
rnacentral:lncRNA from 1 species